rnacentral:miRNA from 3 species
CAAAAAUCUCAAUUACUUUUGC